AGAGUUUGAUCAUGGCUCAGAUUGAACGCUGGCGGCAGGCCUAACACAUGCAAGUCGAACGGUAACAGGAAACAGCUUGCUGUUUCGCUGAAGAGUGGCGGACGGGUGAGUAAUGUCUGGGAAACUGCCUGAUGGAGGGGGAUAACUACUGGAAACGGUGGCUAAUACCGCAUAACGUCGCAAGACCAAAGAGGGGGACCUUCGGGCCUCUUGCCAUCAGAUGUGCCCAGAUGGGAUUAGCUAGUAGGUGGGGUAACGGCUCACCUAGGCGACGAUCCCUAGCUGGUCUGAGAGGAUGACCAGCCACACUGGAACUGAGACACGGUCCAGACUCCUACGGGAGGCAGCAGUGGGGAAUAUUGCACAAUGGGCGCAAGCCUGAUGCAGCCAUGCCGCGUGUAUGAAGAAGGCCUUCGGGUUGUAAAGUACUUUCAGCGGGGAGGAAGGGAGUAAAGUUAAUACCUUUGCUCAUUGACGUUACCCGCAGAAGAAGCACCGGCUAACUCCGUGCCAGCAGCCGCGGUAAUACGGAGGGUGCAAGCGUUAAUCGGAAUUACUGGGCGUAAAGCGCACGCAGGCGGUUUGUUAAGUCAGAUGUGAAAUCCCCGGGCUCAACCUGGGAACUGCAUCUGAUACUGGCAAGCUUGAGUCUCGUAGAGGGGGGUAGAAUUCCAGGUGUAGCGGUGAAAUGCGUAGAGAUCUGGAGGAAUACCGGUGGCGAAGGCGGCCCCCUGGACGAAGACUGACGCUCAGGUGCGAAAGCGUGGGGAGCAAACAGGAUUAGAUACCCUGGUAGUCCACGCCGUAAACGAUGUCGACUUGGAGGUUGUGCCCUUGAGGCGUGGCUUCCGGAGCUAACGCGUUAAGUCGACCGCCUGGGGAGUACGGCCGCAAGGUUAAAACUCAAAUGAAUUGACGGGGGCCCGCACAAGCGGUGGAGCAUGUGGUUUAAUUCGAUGCAACGCGAAGAACCUUACCUGGUCUUGACAUCCACGGAAGUUUUCAGAGAUGAGAAUGUGCCUUCGGGAACCGUGAGACAGGUGCUGCAUGGCUGUCGUCAGCUCGUGUUGUGAAAUGUUGGGUUAAGUCCCGCAACGAGCGCAACCCUUAUCCUUUGUUGCCAGCGGUCCGGCCGGGAACUCAAAGGAGACUGCCAGUGAUAAACUGGAGGAAGGUGGGGAUGACGUCAAGUCAUCAUGGCCCUUACGACCAGGGCUACAUACGUGCUACAAUGGCGCAUACAAAGAGAAGCGACCUCGCGAGAGCAAGCGGACCUCAUAAAGUGCGUCGUAGUCCGGAUUGGAGUCUGCAACUCGACUCCAUGAAGUCGGAAUCGCUAGUAAUCGUGGAUCAGAAUGCCACGGUGAAUACGUUCCCGGGCCUUGUACACACCGCCCGUCACACCAUGGGAGUGGGUUGCAAAAGAAGUAGGUAGCUUAACCUUCGGGAGGGCGCUUACCACUUUGUGAUUCAUGACUGGGGUGAAGUCGUAACAAGGUAACCGUAGGGGAACCUGCGGUUG
rnacentral:rRNA from 1 species